rnacentral:tRNA from 1 species
GGAGAGGUGGCCGAGCGGCUGAAGGCGCAGCAUUGGAAAUGCUGUGUAGGGGAAACUCUACCGAGGGUUCAAAUCCCUCUCUCUCCGCCA